ACGCCAACAGUUGCCAGGCUCGGUCCUCCCGGGGAUGGUGGGACACUGUUGGGACCGCCUCUGCUAAAGAGGAGGAAGGAAUGGGCAACGGUAGGUCAGCAUGCCCCGAAUUAUCUGGGCUACACGCGGGCUACAAUGGGUGGGACAAUGGGUAUCGACACCGAAAGGUGAAGGCAAUCUCCUAAACCCAUCCGUAGUUCGGAUUGUGGGCUGCAACUCGCCCACAUGAAGCUGGAAUCUGUAGUAAUCGUGUCUCAAAAAUGGCACGGUGAAUAUGUCCCUGCUCCUU
rnacentral:rRNA from 1 species